CUAGCUCUUGCAAUGGCUGAAUUGUCUCAAUUGGCUGGAGAAUGGGAAGAAGUUGUUAUAGUAAUUGGUAUAUUUAUAACAGGUUUUUUAAUUACAUAUGCAAAACAGUACCCAGCAAUGAAGCCUUAUGAAUAUGGUUUCCGGGUUUUCUUGAUAACGUAUUGUUUCAUCAUGGUAUCUGGCUAUCACACAAGAGAAUUUAUUGAAACAGCUGUUAGUCGGUUUUUGCUCAUUGCACUUGGUGCUAGUAUUUCUUUAGCUGUGAACAUAUGUGUGUAUCCCAUCUGG
rnacentral:misc_RNA from 1 species